rnacentral:rRNA from 1 species
UACGGAGGGGGCUAGCGUUGUUCGGAAUUACUGGGCGUAAAGCGCGCGUAGGCGGACCUGCAAGUCAGGGGUGAAAUCCCGGGGCUCAACCCCGGAACUGCCUUUGAUACUGGGUAUCUCGAGUCCGGAAGAGGUGAGUGGAAUUCCGAGUGUAGAGGUGAAAUUCGUAGAUAUUCGGAGGAACACCAGUGGCGAAGGCGGCUCACUGGUCCGGUACUGACGCUGAGGUGCGAAAGCGUGGGGAGCAAACAGG